UACGGGGGGGGGCAAGCGUUGUUCGGAAUUACUGGGCGUAAAGGGCUCGUAGGUGGCCAACUAAGUCAGACGUGAAAUCCCCAGGCUCAACUUGGGAACUGCGUCUGAUACUGGCAGGCUUGAAUCCGGGAGAGGGAUGCGGAAUUCCGGGUGUAGUGGUGAAAUGCGUAGAUAUCUGGAGGAACACCGGUGGCGAAGGCGACAUCCUGGACCGGUAUUGACGCUGAGGCGCGAAAGCCAGGGGAGCAAACGGG
rnacentral:rRNA from 1 species